UUCCAUAUUUAUUGUUAGUUCAUUUUAUACAAGUUUCAGAUCGAAUAGAAUUCGCCCAGCUCUUUAGCAUUUUCUUCCUUAAGAAUGCGAGGUUUUCUUCUCGUCGGAAUUAUCACCGUCAUAAUAGCUAUUGCUUCCUUGACACGCUCAGCAACUGGAACGGAGCAUGAAGACGAAAACCAGAUGGAAAUUCCAACUCGAAUUCGUCAGGAGAAGUUCUUCUUCAACAUUUUUGACCCCUUAUUCCCCUGGAAGAGAACAACAACCACACCCAAUUCGACGGGGCAAGCAGGAUAAUUUAUGAUCUUUUACGAUCUAAUCAAAGUUGAGAUCGAACGGGAAGCUGAAUAUUAACUAAAUUUGGAGCAGCUGAAAUUUUAAUGAAACGGGAGACAUAUGUAUCACAAUUCUCCCAUUCGUUUCAUAUAUUUUCCUUGGCUAAUAUUGUACAUAAUUCUUACUUACUAAUUUGAUGUAAAAAGGUAUACAUUUUGUCAUUUUUUGUAAUUAAACGGGAGAAAUUUUACUUUAACAUGCAAAAA